rnacentral:rRNA from 2 species
CGGACGAACGCUGGCGGCGUGCCUAAUACAUGCAAGUCGAACGAACUCUGGUAUUGAUUGGUGCUUGCAUCAUGAUUUACAUUUGAGUGAGUGGCGAACUGGUGAGUAACACGUGGGAAACCUGCCCAGAAGCGGGGGAUAACACCUGGAAACAGAUGCUAAUACCGCAUAACAACUUGGACCGCAUGGUCCGAGUUUGAAAGAUGGCUUCGGCUAUCACUUUUGGAUGGUCCCGCGGCGUAUUAGCUAGAUGGUGGGGUAACGGCUCACCAUGGCAAUGAUACGUAGCCGACCUGAGAGGGUAAUCGGCCACAUUGGGACUGAGACACGGCCCAAACUCCUACGGGAGGCAGCAGUAGGGAAUCUUCCACAAUGGACGAAAGUCUGAUGGAGCAACGCCGCGUGAGUGAAGAAGGGUUUCGGCUCGUAAAACUCUGUUGUUAAAGAAGAACAUAUCUGAGAGUAACUGUUCAGGUAUUGACGGUAUUUAACCAGAAAGCCACGGCUAACUACGUGCCAGCAGCCGCGGUAAUACGUAGGUGGCAAGCGUUGUCCGGAUUUAUUGGGCGUAAAGCGAGCGCAGGCGGUUUUUUAAGUCUGAUGUGAAAGCCUUCGGCUCAACCGAAGAAGUGCAUCGGAAACUGGGAAACUUGAGUGCAGAAGAGGACAGUGGAACUCCAUGUGUAGCGGUGAAAUGCGUAGAUAUAUGGAAGAACACCAGUGGCGAAAGCGGCUGUCUGGUCUGUAACUGACGCUGAGGCUCGAAAGUAUGGGUAGCAAACAGGAUUAGAUACCCUGGUAGUCCAUACCGUAAACGAUGAAUGCUAAGUGUUGGAGGGUUUCCGCCCUUCAGUGCUGCAGCUAACGCAUUAAGCAUUCCGCCUGGGGAGUACGGCCGCAAGGCUGAAACUCAAAGGAAUUGACGGGGGCCCGCACAAGCGGUGGAGCAUGUGGUUUAAUUCGAAGCUACGCGAAGAACCUUACCAGGUCUUGACAUACUAUGCAAAUCUAAGAGAUUAGACGUUCCCUUCGGGGACAUGGAUACAGGUGGUGCAUGGUUGUCGUCAGCUCGUGUCGUGAGAUGUUGGGUUAAGUCCCGCAACGAGCGCAACCCUUAUUAUCAGUUGCCAGCAUUAAGUUGGGCACUCUGGUGAGACUGCCGGUGACAAACCGGAGGAAGGUGGGGAUGACGUCAAAUCAUCAUGCCCCUUAUGACCUGGGCUACACACGUGCUACAAUGGAUGGUACAACGAGUUGCGAACUCGCGAGAGUAAGCUAAUCUCUUAAAGCCAUUCUCAGUUCGGAUUGUAGGCUGCAACUCGCCUACAUGAAGUCGGAAUCGCUAGUAAUCGCGGAUCAGCAUGCCGCGGUGAAUACGUUCCCGGGCCUUGUACACACCGCCCGUCACACCAUGAGAGUUUGUAACACCCAAAGUCGGUGGGGUAACCUUUUAGGAACCAGCCGCCUAAGGUGGGACAGAUGAUUAGGG